rnacentral:rRNA from 1 species
GAUGAACGCUAGCGGGAGGCCUAACACAUGCAAGCCGAGCGGUAUUGUUUCUUCGGAAAUGAGAGAGCGGCGUACGGGUGCGGAACACGUGUGCAACCUGCCUUUAUCUGGAGGAUAGCCUUUCGAAAGGAAGAUUAAUACUCCAUAACAUAUUGAUUGGCAUCAAUUAAUAUUGAAAGCUCCGGCGGAUAGAGAUGGGCACGCGGCAAGAUUAGCUAGUUGGUGAGGUAACGGCUCACCAAGGCGAUGAUCUUUAGGGGGCCUGAGAGGGUGGUCCCCCACACUGGUACUGAGACACGGACCAGACUCCUACGGGAGGCAGCAGUGAGGAAUAUUGGUCAAUGGGUGCAAGCCUGAACCAGCCAUCCCGCGUGAAGGACGACUGCCCUAUGGGUUGUAAACUUCUUUUGUAUAGGGAUAAACCUACCCUCGUGAGGGUAGCUGAAGGUACUAUACGAAUAAGCACCGGCUAACUCCGUGCCAGCCGCCGCAGUAAGAC